rnacentral:rRNA from 1 species
ACUGCUCAGUAACACGUGGAUAACCUGCCCUUGGGUCCGGCAUAACCCCGGGAAACUGGGGAUAAUUCCGGAUAACGCACAUAUGCUGGAAUGCUUUAUGCGUAAAAUGGAUUCGUCUGCCCAAGGAUGGGUCUGCGGCCUAUCAGGUAGUAGUGGGUGUAAUGUACCUACUAGCCUACAACGGGUACGGGUUGUGAGAGCAAGAGCCCGGAGAUGGAUUCUGAGACAUGAAUCCAGGCCCUACGGGGCGCAGCAGGCGCGAAAACUUUACAAUGCGGGAAACCGUGAUAAGGGGACACCGAGUGCCAGCAUCAUAUGCUGGCUGUCCAGGUGUGUAAAAUACACCUGUUAGCAAGGGCCGGGCAAGACCGGUGCCAGCCGCCGCGGUAACACCGGCGGCCCGAGUGGUGAUCGUGAUUAUUGGGUCUAAAGGGUCCGUAGCCGGUUUGGUCAGUCCUCCGGGAAAUCUGACGGCUUAACCGUUAGGCUUUCGGGGGAUACUGCCAGGCUUGGAACCGGGAGAGGUAAGAGGUACUACAGGGGCAGGAGUGAGAUCUUGUAAUCCCUGUGGGACCACCUGUGGCGAAGGCGUCUUACCAGAACGGGUUCGACGGUGAGGGACGAAAGCUGGGGGCACGAACCGGAUUAGAUACCCGGGUAGUCCCAGCCGUAAACGAUGCUCGCUAGGUGUCAGGCAUGGCGCGACCGUGUCUGGUGCCGCAGGGAAGCCGUGAAGCGAGCCACCUGGGAAGUACGGCCGCAAGGCUGAAGCUUAAAGGAAUUGGCGGGGGAGCAC